AGUGAACGCUGGCGGUAGGCCUAACACAUGCAAGUCGAACGGCAGCACAGUAAGAGCUUGCUCUUACGGGUGGCGAGUGGCGGACGGGUGAGGAAUACAUCGGAAUCUACUUUUUCGUGGGGGAUAACGUAGGGAAACUUACGCUAAUACCGCAUACGACCUACGGGUGAAAGCAGGGGAUCUUCGGACCUUUCGCGAUUGAAUGAGCCGAUGUCGGAUUAGCUAGUUGGCGGGGUAAAGGCCCACCAAGGCGACGAUCCGUAGCUGGUCUGAGAGGAUGAUCAGCCACACUGGAACUGAGACACGGUCCAGACUCCUACGGGAGGCAGCAGUGGGGAAUAUUGGACAAUGGGCGCAAGCCUGAUCCAGCCAUACCGCGUGGGUGAAGAAGGCCUUCGGGUUGUAAAGCCCUUUUGUUGGGGAAGAAAAGCAGCAGGUUAAUACCCCGCUGUUCUGACGGUACCCAAAGAAUAAGCACCGGCUAACUUCGUG
rnacentral:rRNA from 1 species